CCCUUAGAUGUCCUGGGCCGCACGCGCGCUACACUGAGUGUCUGAGAUACGAGUCUGCCUGGUCCGGCAAGGUCUAGGUAAACGCUAAAAGACACAUCAUGCUUGGGAUAGAUUAUUGCAAAUAUUAAUCUUGAACGAGGAAUUCCUAGUAAGCGCAAGUCAACAGCUUGCGUUGAUUACGUCCCUGCCCUUUGUACACACCGCCCGUCGCUACUACUGAUUGGAUGUUUAAGCGAGGUUCUCGAACUGCUAGCGACUUAGCUUCGGUGAGGUCGCAGUGUGGGAAGUGAACCUAGCUUUGGUGUCUAGAGGAAGUAAAAGUCGUAACA
rnacentral:rRNA from 1 species